GGACUACACGGGUAUCUAAUCCUGUUUGCUCCCCACGCUUUCGUGUCUCAGCGUCAGUCUUCGUCCAGUUGGCCGCCUUCGCCACCGGUGUUCCUCUCGAUAUCUACGAAUUUCACCUCUACACCGAGAAUUCCACCAACCUCUCCGAGACUCGAGCCAGACAGUAUCGGGUGCACUUCCCGAGUUGAGCCCGGGGCUUUCACAUCCGACUUGAAUGGCCGCCUACACACGCUUUACGCCCAGUAAUUCCGAACAACGUUUGCACCCUCUGUCUUACCGCGGCUGCUGGCAC
rnacentral:rRNA from 1 species